rnacentral:misc_RNA from 1 species
CGCCAACUUCGGAAAACAAUUCCUGCACAUAGUUUAUCAAUCACUGGUUAAAGAAAUAUUUAAAAUGUAAAAGCGUUUCUGUCAACAAUUACCAACAUAUUCAACUACACAACAAUCAACAAAGUGAGAGAUUACAUUACUCAAAUAAUAGAAUCACAAACAGGUGGAAUACAGACUACUAAAACCAAAUUUGAAGCACUUAUAAAAACCAAGAAAGAAUUUCUCCGGCAAAAAAAUUCUAUUAAUACUGUCCCUUCAUAAUUUAAAACAUAAUAACCCUUUAAUUUCAAUAACCAUUAAUAAAUCUUCUAAUUUCCACUCUGCAUGCAAGAUUGAAGUAAAUACAUGCCAAUUUAUUAAAGCAAGCACUUUAAUUAAGAAAAUACAACUAAAAUCUGUGAUGCACGGAAACAGCGAGAGAUAAACGGCAACACACUACAGGGAAACAUUUUGAGGCCGUUUUUGAAAUUUUCAGAAAUCAGACAUGUGUUUCCUAUGCUGAAAACACGUUUCUUUAAAAAAAAAUAGUUAGGUUAAAAACGCAAUAGAGUCACACUUGGCCUGGGAAUCGCACCACACCAUAAGAAGAAGAAGAGGAUGACGACUUACCUGGCGGCAACAUAAGGCGCAAGUGUGUGUAUUGUAACCCUUUAGCUUUUCUUCCCCAUGCUUUGCCUCUGAUUUGUUUUGGCAUAUUGGGUUUUGAGGGUUAAAUUCUUAAUCAAUUGUUGGCUUUUGUGGGUUUUGUUUG